rnacentral:pre_miRNA from 2 species
UCUCUCUGAUGAGCAAAGAAGGUGGUUUCUUGAAAUGGAAUCUACUCCUGGUGAAGAUGGUGUGAA